GGGUCAGUAGGUUGGUCGUGCCACCGGUACGUACUGGUCUCACUGAUUCCUCCUUCCUGAAGAACCGUAGUGCCAUUAAUUUGGUGUUGCGGGGAAACAGGACUGUUACUUUGAAAAAAUUAGAGUGUUUAAAGCAAGCUAACGCUUGAAUACAUUAGCAUGGAAUAAUGAAAUAGGACGAUCGAUCCUAUUUUGUUGGCUUCUAGGAUUGACGUAAUGAUUAAUGGAUAGUUGGG
rnacentral:rRNA from 1 species